UACGUAGGGGGCWAGCGUUGUCCGGAUUUAUUGGGCGUAAAGAGCGUGUAGGCGGCCAGGUAGGUCKGYUGUGAAAACUMGAGGCUUAACCUCKAGAYGUCGRCSGAAACCAUCUGGCUAGAGUCCGGAAGAGGAGAGUGGAAUUCCUGGUGUAGCGGUGAAAUGCGCAGAUAUCAGGAAGAACACCCGUGGCGAARGCGGCUCUCURGGACGGUACUGACGCUGAGACGCGAAAGCGUGGGGAGCGAACAGGAUUAGAUACCCUGGUAGUCCACGCCGUAAACGAUGGGUGCUAGGUGUGGGAGGUGUCGACUCCUYCCGUGCCGMAGCUAACGCAUUAAGCACCCCGCCUGGGGAGUACGGCCGCAAGGCUAAAACUCAAAG
rnacentral:rRNA from 1 species